AACGCGAAGAACCUUACCCAGGCUCGAAAUGUAAUUGGCGAUACCAGAAAUGGUAUCUUCCGAAAGGACUUUUAUAUAGGUGCUGCAUGGCUGUCGUCAGCUCGUGCCGUGAGGUGUUGGGUUAAGUCCCGCAACGAGCGCAACCCUUAUCAUUAGUUGCCAACAUUUAAGGUGGGGACUCUAAUGAGACUGCCUGGGUUAACCAGGAGGAAGGUGAGGAUGACGUCAAGUCCGCAUGGCCUUUAUGUCUGGGGCUACACACGUGCUACAAUGGUCGGUACAGAAGGCAGCAAGACCGCAAGGUGGAGCAAAUCCGUAAAGCCGAUCACAGUUCAGAUUGUAGUCUGCAACUCGACUACAUGAAGUCGGAAUUGCUAGUAAUGACGUGUCAGCAACAACGUCGUGAAUACGUUCCCGGGCCUUGUA
rnacentral:rRNA from 1 species